rnacentral:rRNA from 1 species
AGUGAACGCUGGCGGUAGGCCUAACACAUGCAAGUCGAACGGCAGCACAGGAGAGCUUGCUCUCUAGGUGGCGAGUGGCGGACGGGUGAGGAAUACAUCGGAAUCUGCCCAGUCGUGGGGGAUAACGUAGGGAAACUUACGCUAAUACCGCAUACGACCUUCGGGUGAAAGAGGGGGAUCGCAAGACCUCUCGCGAUUGGAUGAGCCGAUGUCGGAUUAGCUAGUUAGCGGGGUAAUGGCCCACCAAGGCGACGAUCCGUAGCUGGUCUGAGGGGAUGAUCAGCCACACUGGAACUGAGACACGGUCCAGACUCCUACGGGAGGCAGCAGUGGGGAAUAUUGGACAAUGGGCGCAAGCCUGAUCCAGCCAUACCGCGUGGGUGAAGAAGGCCUUCGGGUUGUAAAGCCCUUUUGUUGGGAAAGAAAUCUUUCAGGCUAAUACCCUGGGAGGAUGACGGUACCCAAAGAAUAAGCACCGGCUAACUUCGUG